AGCGAAUAGAUACCCCGGUAGUCCCAGCCGUAAACGAUGCUCGCUAGGUGUCAGGCAUGGCGCGACCGUGUCUGGUGCCGCAGGGAAGCCGUGAAGCGAGCCACCUGGGAAGUACGGCCGCAAGGCUGAAACUUAAAGGAAUUGGCGGGGGAGCACAACAACGGGUGGAGCCUGCGGUUUAAUUGGACUCAACGCCGGACAACUCACCGGGGGGCGACAGCAAUAUGUAGGCCAAGCUGAAGACUUUGCCUGAAUCGCUGAGAGGAGGUGCAUGGCCGUCGCCAGUUCGUACUGUGAAGCAUCCUGUUAAGUCAGGCAACGAGCGAGACCCGUGCCCACUGUUACCAGCAUAUUCUCCGGAAUGAUGGGUACUCCGUGGGGACCGCCUAUGUUAAACUAGGAGGAAGGUGCGGGCCACGGUAGGUCAGUAUGCCCCGGAAUCUCCCGGGCUACACGCGGGCUACAAUGGAUGGGACAAUGGGUCCCUACUCCGAAAGGAGCUGGUAAUCUCACAAACCCGAUUCGUAGUUCGGAUCGAGGGCU
rnacentral:rRNA from 1 species